AGUCGAGCGAAGGACGAGAAGCUUGCUUCUCUGAUGUUAGCGGCGGACGGGUGAGUAACACGUGGAUAACCUACCUAUAAGACUGGGAUAACUUCGGGAAACCGGAGCUAAUACCGGAUAAUAUUUUGAACCGCAUGGUUCAAAAGUGAAAGACGGUCUUGCUGUCACUUAUAGAUGGAUCCGCGCUGCAUUAGCUAGUUGGUAAGGUAACGGCUUACCAAGGCAACGAUGCAUAGCCGACCUGAGAGGGUGAUCGGCCACACUGGAACUGAGACACGGUCCAGACUCCUACGGGAGGCAGCAGUAGGGAAUCUUCCGCAAUGGGCGAAAGCCUGACGGAGCAACGCCGCGUGAGUGAUGAAGGUCUUCGGAUCGUAAAACUCUGUUAUUAGGGAAGAACAUAUGUGUAAGUAACUGUGCACAUCUUGACGGUACCUAAUCAGAAAGCCACGGCUAACUACGUGCCAGCAGCCGCGGUAAUACGUAGGUGGCAAGCGUUAUCCGGAAUUAUUGGGCGUAAAGCGCGCGUAGGCGGUUUUUUAAGUCUGAUGUGAAAGCCCACGGCUCAACCGUGGAGGGUCAUUGGAAACUGGAAAACUUGAGUGCAGAAGAGGAAAGUGGAAUUCCAUGUGUAGCGGUGAAAUGCGCAGAGAUAUGGAGGAACACCAGUGGCGAAGGCGACUUUCUGGUCUGUAACUGACGCUGAUGUGCGAAAGCGUGGGGA
rnacentral:rRNA from 1 species